rnacentral:lncRNA from 1 species
CUUUAAGAAAUCGGCAGGAGCCAAGUGUGUCUAUCAGCUUCGGGGACACAUCACACCGGUUCGGACUGUGGCCUUCAGUUCCGAUGGCUUGGCCUUGGUGUCUGGUGGACUCGGAGGGCUUAUGAACAUUUGGUCUUUAAGGGAUGGCUCUGUCUUGCAAACUGUUGUGAUAGGCUCUGGAGCUAUUCAGACCACAGUAUGGAUUCCAGAAGUUGGGGUAGCUGCCUGCUCAAAUAGAUCAAAGGAUGUUUUGGUUGUGAACUGCACAGCAGAAUGGGCUUCUGCCAAUCACAUUUUAGCAACCUGUAGGACAGCCCUGAAACAACAGGGCGUUCUGGGCUUGAACAUGGCUCCCUGCAUGAGAGCGUUUCUGGAACGACUACCCAUGAUG